rnacentral:rRNA from 1 species
GACGAACCGUGCGAACGUUAUUCGGAAUCACUGGGCUUAAAGCGCGUGUAGGCGGGAGCGUAAGUCGCGUGUGAAAGCCCCCAGGCUCAACCUGGGAAGUGCGCGCGAAACUGUGCUUCUUGAGUGCCGGAGGAGGGUGGCGGAAUUCCCGGUGUAGAGGUGAAAUUCGUAGAUAUCGGGAGGAACACCAGAGGCGAAGGCGGCCACCUGGACGGACACUGACG